UAAACACCUUCAAACCAGUUGAUACCUACACACAUCAUGAGUACGUAGGCACCACAAAAUACCAUGUCAAAUAGACAAAGUCAUCCAACACUCCAUGAUAGAAGAAAUCAAAUCAGAACAUUCACUAGAAUGAUUCUAGAGAUGGCAAUCUGAGUUGAUAAACUGAAGUUUAAUAGGAAAAGGACAAUUAAAUGAACGAUGCAGUAGUUCCACGAAUUGACACUAGAAUGAUCACGCCAAAUAUUCAAUACCUAGUUCUAAGUUUUUCAACAAGACAUUUUUAUGUAAUAAUCCCAUGCAAUAUCUGGUCAAAUUUCCUCUUAAGUCCAUCUUACAGGCCAUGAAGAAUUUUCACUGGAAUUUUAAAUUAUUCAGCCACCUUCAGAUCUAUCUCCUUCCUCACCAAGAGUCAUUUACCAUUGGGAGAUCCUGACGCUGACCUUGACCUUGCUCUGGGUGAUUUAACAGGUGAUGCUGAUCUAGACUUUGACACUGAUCUUGAUGGCGAUCGUUCCAAUGAUUUACUUCGGUUCCUUCUUGGACUCCUGCUUCUGCUGCGGCUUCUACUACGGCUCCUUGAUGGAGUACGCUCAUACCUCUUCACCUGUAAUUGUAAAGGUACAUAUUAAAAAUAAAAUAAAGGAACAAUUCAGAAUGCACUUUUAUUUGAAGCCUUCAGACAAUAAUAAUAUCUCAUAUAUGCCCAAAUCAUCUUCAAGCAGACAGUAAGUUAUGUUUGUUUCCCAAAAAGCAUGCCAACUUUAACGCCUCCUUGUUGCAAAUAUUUAUAAUAGUCCAGAAUAGGGGCAGGGAUGGCCAAAAGAAUUAACUUCUAGCUGACCAAUAAAAUUUUAGAUUAAAUGAUUACCCGAAUAUAAGCUCUAGCCCAAGGAUUUUUAAACUCACUGUCAUCCAGCUUCCGAAUGGAGUACUUCAUGUCUUCAUAAUUAGUAUAAUCAACAAUACCAAAAGCCCCAUCACUGUCUCGAGAAACUUCAGCAAAGCACACAUCACCCGCUUUUCGCAUAUGAUCCUUCAAAUCUUGCCAGGAAGCAGAAGAUGGGAGUCCACGAACAAUAACUCGAAAUUCUGAAUGGCGUGAGAUGCCAUACCGACCCCCACUCGCACCACCAUAGCCACCACGACGAUCACUUGAAGAUUGCCCUCUACCACCAUGGGCAAGCUCAACCCUCAAACGACAGCCAUCAAAAUUAUAUCCAUCACGACCCCUGAUUGCAUCUUCUGCAUCCCGAGCAUUCUCAAACUCCACAAAACAAUAACAAGGAGGACGAGGUGGAAUCUUCAACUCAAUAUCUAGUAUACGGCCAUACUACAAAGAAAGUUACUUUCAUAAGGAUUAGCCAUACUAGCAUAAUCAUUAAAACAGCUGUAAAGAUAUGCAAAACCAAGUGAAUUUUCUUUCUUUUUUUUUAUAACUACAAAAGCAAAUAUCUUUACCACUCGGAUCAUAUCCAGAAAAUUUUUAAUCAUAAUUAUUACGGCUGGCAUCAGGUGCCAACUAUUACCAGUAACAAAAAAACUUCUGUCCACCCGGACAUGUUUGAUGUCGUGCAUAAAGAAAAAUGUGAAGUUUGUAACAGUAAACCCAUCUUUUGAUGUUCAAAAACCAAAGAUAACAAAAAGACAAAUGUUGAAGUUCAGACUCAUUCAUACAUAAUUCGAUAUGGGUAAGACAUUACAAUUAUUAUUUCCCAAGCACAAAGUGAGAAAGGAUUCAAGGAAUACGCAUACAAUUCAUAAGAAUGAACCUUAUUGUUCAUCCAACAUCAAUAUAUACAAUUCAUCAUAAUAAAUGAACCUUAUUGUUCAUCUAACAUCAAUUUGUUAUGAGUAAGGAGUAGAGCAGUUAGGAGGUUAGUCCAGUAGUUAGAUAGGAAGAUUCUAUUAUUCUAGUCUAUUGUAAUUACUCUCCAAUAAGUUGUAAUUGUAGAGAGCGGUUAUAAGAUCCAAAAAAGUACAAAUAGGAGCUUACUUGUAAAGUGGAUACAAUCCAAGAUCAUUAAUAAUCAAAGAUAUCUCUCAUCUCUGAAAUAUUCUCUUUCUCUUCUCAUCUA
rnacentral:misc_RNA from 1 species